CUAGUCAGAAUAUAUUAAUCAGAGCUAAUUAAUUAAUCAAUUAAUUGAAUAAUACAAGGAAAAGAAUCUUUUGAAAAGAGAAAAAAUUAAAAGAGCUCAAAAUGAAGAGCCGAGAAUCAGCUUACAAAACAAGUGAGCAAGAGGGAAAGAAAGAGAGGGUAAAACAAAAAAGAGGGAUGUUUGAGCAAAGAGAUGUUUUAACAUGUGACACUUGACCAGUUGAUUAUUUUCUGAUUACUUUUACAUCGUGCUUUUUUAUCUUCUUUUACCAUGUUUAUUCAUCUAUUAAAUUGUAAUUUAUAACUUAAUUCACUCCAUGUUCAAUAAUCUGCUAACCGGUCAACGAGUUAACUGUUUUCUGGUAAACUGUUAUCUUUUGUCUGUUUCAAACAAUCGUUUGCUACGACAUUCACAAUGUUAUCGCUCUUCAUUCUAUUCAAUUUGAAUCUUGUUUUCCAGUUUUAACUUAACAAUGUAAUAAAAUAUCUUUCCUCUGUUCACCCCAAGCAACGAUAUUUUGUUAUCUUUUCUAAGAUUCAUUCUCUGACGUUCAUUGAUUAAUCGAUUGAUAUCUUUAUUGUUGGCUGGUUGGCUGGUUGUUCAACAAAUUGAAGCAAAUUUUUGCAUACUUUCAUGGUUAUUGGAUUGGAUUUUCUAGCUGAUAUGGUUUAUAUGUUAUGUGCAGCAACUAGUGUUAAAAGUAAUUUAUUGUAAUCAACUUAAUUAUUAAUAAAUCAAGUUGGACCGAGGCAACGAAUCUGGAUAAGGAAACACUGAUACAACCUAAAAAUUACAUUCAACAUGAUCAUCUUACUAAACCCAAAUUCACAAGCUAAAUGGUUAUCUUCUGGUUCAUCUUCUGGUAACAAAUGAUUUACAUCAAUUAUCUAAUCAACACUCUUGCAAUUGAACUCGGUAGCCAAGUUAUAUGAAAAAAAUAUACCGAAAGAGGCAACAAAAGCUUGUGAUUAAAUGAAACAAUUUAGCUUGGAUAAGUGGAAAAGCAGCAGCAAAAGAAACCAAAAUGUUAAACUUGUUUACAUAAUUUAGAUUAAAGAUGGCAAAAGUAGAUGAAGGAGUAAUUUUUUGUUGGCGCAACCAUUAUAAGGAUAACAAUUUAUUUAAUUUAUGUCCUUGCUACAUAAUUAACUUUUCCCUUCUCAUUUAAUUCAAUCUUAAUCAAAUAUUAUUUUAAACUACAUCAACUAAAACAUUUGUUAGAAGGGAAAACAACUUUAUCUUCUUCAAGUUUACCUCUAAACGGUUGGUGAUACAUUUAACCGUAAUUGGUUAAACUAACCAAAGGAACAAUCAAUCGAUGGAUAAACACAUCUGAGCAAUCAAUCUACUCACAUUUGGGUUCCCAGAAUCAUAAGAUGAUGGGUUGGAAGAAAUUUCAGCUUGAACUCGAGAGGACCGUGAAACGGCAAAGGAAACUAAAGCAAGAGACAAAAUCCACUUCAUUUUCAGAGCAAAGACAAAGACAAUAUUGUUAAUGAUUUGAGAUACAAUUUACACAAUCUAUUUAUGUAUCAAACCAAUAAGAUCAAUCAGUUUAACAUAAUGCUAUCACAUGCCAUUUUUUAUUAUUCAAUUAACUGUGACGAGAUGAUUUAUCAUAUAAUUGAGUUUACUGUUAACUGGUUAAUAACUUUAAUCUAGGUUGGUUCAA